rnacentral:lncRNA from 1 species
UUUUUGUUUUUUCUGCUUAAAAUUGCCCAAAAUGAUACCUUUUCGAAUUACGAAGGCUAUGGCGGAUCAGGAUCAGGAUCAAGCAUGUACAGGUAUUGAAGAGCUGGUUCAAGCACAAGCUUUCAAGCGUUCAAUAAUUGCGUUUUUGUUUACCAAUCUUCUAUGGUGUGCAAGAGGAAGUCCCUCUUUCACACACUCGUCGUAUUUCUCUAACGCCGCCACAAUGUCGCUGAAAUCCGGCCGCUUCGACGGAUUCGCCGCCCAACACCGUUUAAUCAGGUGGGCUAGCGCCGGCUGACAACUCGCCGGCAAUGGUGGUCUCUCAUUCUGCCCAAUUCAAGUAAGACAUUUCAACUCUCAAAACCCUAAUCUCCUAUUCUAUUACGCAAAAUUACGACGAUUGAUCGACAUUUUUCUUCAAACAGGUAAGUAUCAAAAUCAGCAUUACUUGUGGAAGGGGGAGUUUGAGAUUUUGGUACCUUCUCGGCGACGGCAAAGGCAGCUUGCACGGGGGUCAUUCCUUGAAAGGGAAGCAGAGCCGUGGUGAGUUCCCACAGCACAAUCCCAAAGCUGUACACAUCAACUUUGCGAGUAUAAGGCUUCUCUUUGAUCAUCUCCGGUGCCAUCCAUCGGUAAGUUCCCAUGUUCCCUUUUGAUUCUCGGCACUGUGUUUCGAGGCAGGAGGUUCCGAAAUCGGCUACUUUUACUCUCAUUUCAUCGUUUAGAAGCAAGUUGUUUGAUUUGAGAUCUCUGUGGAUUACUCCUUGGGAAUGGAGGUAUUCCAUUCCUCUUGAUAUGUCAAGAGCUAACCUCAGUAUUGUUUCUGUUGAGAGUGAAUACGGCUCUUUCUUGUUUAGAUACAUCCUCAGAGUUCCUUGUGACAUAUACUCUGUAAUUAUGCAGUAUACAGGUGGCUUUUUACAGGCUGCAAUGAACUGUACACCAAACAGCCAUGAAUUUACAUUCUUAAAAACUUGUAUUUGUCAGUUGUGUAUAGUUCUGUUGUAAGGAAUAACUGGGAAGGGUAGAUGAAAGAAAUUAAAAGACUAGAAGGUUGAAUUUUUACCUGAACUAUGUUGGGAUGAAAGAGACGAGAAAGCAAGGCAACUUCGGACUUGAACUGUUGCUCGAGUUUGGCUCUUGUUUCCUCCUUUUGGUUUGGAAUUCUCACCAUCUUCACAGCAACGGCUCUCUGCUUGUAAAUUCCACGGUAUAUCCGACUGUGAGCGCCGGAGGCAAAUUUGUUACCAAUGAAGAGUUGAGAUAAAUCAGCUGUCCACUCUUCCUGAUCUUCCUUUGAUGUCUCCCAAGUUUCAACAUUUUCAGACUCUAGGAUCAUCGACCACGAUUCCAAACUAUCAAAUCUUCUCCUUUCCAUAUUUUCCAUUUCAGAAUUCAUCUGGGAUUUCAAAGAGGAAGGGGUUGAUAAGGUUUUGCCUUUUGAUUUACGAAUCCUAAGUGAACCGAAACAUGAGGUCGCCAUGAAGAUUCUAUACGUGAAUUGGACUUUGUCUAUACCAAACACAGGCUUGUUUUUUUAUGUCAAAGCAAACAAUCGUAAGGAAUUUUCCUUCUGAAAGUAUGAAUUGAUUUUAAGAAAUGCAUGAACUGAUUCAAAAACAUGAGUUCUAAAGAAGAAUGAUAAUUGGAUGUGGAUUUUCAUGAAUCAAUGGUAGCAAGGACGAAGACCCAAAAGAAAAACUUAGCAGAAAAAACACAUAGAACAGUUUUCCGCGUCAAGUAUUAGCACCUCUUGUAUAGUUAGGCAAAUGUUCAUGAAAAGACGGGGAACAUAUCAGAGAAAAAGCCAACCCUAAAGAUAGAACUUGGGAUUUCAUGGCUACAGGGAGUGGAAUCAAAGGGAGAAGAAAAAAAGGAAAGAAGAAAGGAAAAUUUUGGAGGUAGAGGAGAGAAAAGGGUCUGAUUUUCACGGUUCUGUAUGAUGAUAUGGAGAAGGAUUAGGUCGUUUGGCAGUAGAAAGACAAUGAAAAAGUGCAGAUAGUUCAGAAGCGUCUCGUGAUUUGGCGUCUCUUUGAUCAAAAGUCGAACUUUUUAAAGAAGGAACCGCUUUAUUUGUUCUUCUUUUUUCAACUGAAUCCAGCUCCUCUGUUUCUGUUUCAUUUCCCAUCAUCAAUGCUAAGUGGCCGAAGUGGCAAAGUCUCAAUGGAUUAGCUUUCAACUCUUAAGAGAAAAUAAGCAUAUAUGCCAAUACCAAUCUUUUAUCCCUUAAAAAAAACAAAACAAAACAAAAUAAUAAUAAAAAAAAAUACCCACAUUUUUUCUACAAGUGGCAGGCACACGUGGGCCAGGCUAAAGUGAAAAAGCGACCAUCUGAGCCGAGUCAAUAGUGAAGAACAUGGAGGUCUGUAGCUUAAUGCAAUGGAGAUUAGAUCCUGUGGUUCUUAGUUAGUGCUUGUCAAAUC